AUUUACUGCAGGGCGAUCGCUGCGUGAAAUUCAUUUAAAAAUGAGAAUUUUUGUGUUUAUUUUCUUGGUGGUGUUUGCUACAGUUGCCUGGGCUGAGACGGACAUCCAGUACGAUGAGGAUCCUCAAAAUUUCAACUUCAUUGGCGCUAGAGUGGGUAGAUCUCUCUAUGGUGAUCGUGGAAGCCCUUAUGUCAAGAAAUACCACCACAACAGAUCCCAACAGGCACAGCCCUUCUAGGAUUGUGCGAAUCUUCUCGGAAUAUUUUCUUCUCGUUAAGAUCAUAUAUAACCUCUGGUUGAUUUUUCUUUCAACUGAGUAUUUUAUUGACAAAAAUUGCAUUAAAAAAAGGAAAAAUUAUUUAAAAAAAUAUUUUACAUUACACUAUGCAAACUGCAAAUUUUGGACAUCAUAAAUAGCUUCCAGAAAUACGCUCUCUACACUAUAUUCUCAGCAUUGUCGAUUUGGUUAUCAUGCAAAUGUACUUGAUGAAAAUAAAUUGCUUAAUGACAGUUAAGAA